rnacentral:rRNA from 1 species
GAUGAACGCUGGCGGCGUGCCUAAUACAUGCAAGUCGAGCGAACAGACGAGGAGCUUGCUCCUCUGACGUUAGCGGCGGACGGGUGAGUAACACGUGGAUAACCUACCUAUAAGACUGGGAUAACUUCGGGAAACCGGAGCUAAUACCGGAUAACAUGUUGAACCGCAUGGUUCAACAGCGAAAGACGGUUUUGCUGUCACUUAUAGAUGGAUCCGCGCCGCAUUAGCUAGUUGGUAAGGUAACGGCUUACCAAGGCAACGAUGCGUAGCCGACCUGAGAGGGUGAUCGGCCACACUGGAACUGAGACACGGUCCAGACUCCUACGGGAGGCAGCAGUAGGGAAUCUUCCGCAAUGGGCGAAAGCCUGACGGAGCAACGCCGCGUGAGUGAAGAAGGUCUUCGGAUCGUAAAACUCUGUUAUUAGGGAAGAACAAAUGUGUAAGUAACUAUGCACGUCUUGACGGUACCUAAUCAGAAAGCCACGGCUAACUACGUG